AGUUCUUUAUCCUCCUUGGUUUGUGUGUUCUCGGCGUUCAUUUUAAGCUUGUAGAAAUGUAUUUUAUUUUUUUUUCUCCCAAAAAUGUGCGACAGUCGGUGAUCCGUCGUCAUCGUGCCUUAAGUCAGCUGAACACGGACCCGUUUUGACGUUGCAUUCAAACUGACUUGCGUUUGGGGGAGGUAAUAAUAUUACCUCAUUGUAUAAAUUUACGGCUUAAAAAAUUAAACACAAUCGUUUUCGCAAACCUGUUUUUUCUUCAAUUUUACAGAAACAAUGCGGCGAAAGUGAGUGAGUGCGCGCUUAGAUCAAAUCUCAGUGGUAAGAAAGUGAAGAAGUAACUUUUGACAGGUGUUAACUGAUUUGUCCGCUAGACAGUUUUCGCCUUAGAUCCCGGAACAAACCAGAUCUUCUUCUCCUUUACACCAAAGCCCCAAGCGCAGACAGAUUAAGACCAUAUGAACCACGGCAAAUCCACCACGACCAGGGGCUCUAAGCCCUUUGAUUCAAACAGAUAUAUUCCUCUGCGGCGGAGGAUAUCCUCAUGUUUUUUGUUCUAUUUGCUUGCAGAUAUUGUGUGUGUCUAGCCUAACAAUGGAUAUAUAUCAUAAACAUUUAAUUUAGGUAAAUAUACCUAAAUGCAUUUAAGAUAAAACUGAUUUUAUUUUUAUUUACUGUACAUAUCAUCACAACAAUCAUUAGCCUAAAAGUAAGAUUAAUGUAAUGCAAUGUUUAUCAUAAUUUAAUUUCAUAAUUUAAGUGCACAUACACACAAACAAAUAAUUUAAAAUGGUGAAAGUGGCCGAAGAGUAGAUUUAGCCUACUAGGCUAAAUCUACAAAAUGUCCUUUACGCAUAUUACAAACUGCAGGUGAACUGAUAAAUAGGCCUGCGUCCGAUGUUGAUGAUUAAUAAAAAAGCAAAAACUAAACAAACAAAAACAUAAGUGGUGGCUGAGGAACUUUACGCAGGAGUCAGUGAACUGGCUCACUUGUUAAAGUCUCUCUGAGCCGAAAGGGAUCGCUGUAGGCGCUGCUACAGAGUGUGGGCAUGAGGUCACGUGUUACUGCACUCUCAAGAGUAAAGAAUGAUGACGCUCAAACUCAGUGGACCAAUGCUAAGUUCAAAGCAAAACAAACUGAAGACAUGCGAAAUUGUCGACUGUGAUAGUGAAGACGUUUUUAUUAAUUCUGCACCACCCGUGAGUGUAGCCUAUAUAAAUAAACGAAAUACAGUAGAGGAAACUGAACGAGAAUGACAUAUGAGUAGCCCACUUAUUUCAAUUCACAAGGAAAAAAAUAAAUAAAUAGCCAUACACGUUUUCAUUGUCAUUUUACAUUUUGAAUCGAUUACAUAUAAAAGAAAAUAAUGCAUAGGCUAUGCCAUAUAAAAUCCCUAACCUCAUUAACCACCCCGCUUUUUUCUUACUUUCUUUUUUCUGAAACAGUGGAAGUGGCCAUUUGCACAGUCACAUUUAAAUAGCAUAUCGGUUUCCAAGGAUACCCAGGAGUAGCAUUUAAAUGACGUCAAUAUUCAUUGAUAGAGUAUUAUCGGCAGUAAUGAGUUCCUCUUCACCAAUAGGAUUCGAUAAGCAGUCUGUUUAGCCAUAGUGGAGGGGUGAAUGAAAGAAAGCAUGGAAAGAGAAAGGCAGCAGUCACAUUCUUCACGCGCUGGCAGAAAGAUCAUUCUCUUUUUAAGAGAAGCUCUCCUGCUGUCCCAUUGGUCAGGGUUGUGCCACGCCCAUGUCCAUCCAGACAGUUCAUUCCCGGGCUUGAGGUUCGAGCGAGUCGUUUAGAGGCCCCCGGUUGCAGAGAACACACCGAUUGCCAGAGCUAUUUAACACCAAGACUCAGAUUCAAGCUUGUGGAGGUGCACUUGGGAGCCCUAGAUGAGCAUUUAAUUUUCAGACUAUAUGUGUGAGCCAAGAGAAGAGCGAGUUUGAUGGACUCCAUUACCCAAGCAAUUCUCACAUAGACAUGGACCACUAAUGGGCAUAUCUAUAUUGGGAUGUUUUGUAUUGGACUACCAAAGUAUCUACGUGUGUGUGUGUGUGUGUGUGUGUGUGUGUGUGUGUGUGUGCUGUUUGUUUGAGGGCUCUUGGGAAUAGAGAGUGAGGGAAACAGUGAAUAAAUAGCACACACAGCUAGCCUCCCUCCUGUGUCUCAUCACUCAGAUCUGAUUGCAACAUAAACAUGGCGUCUCAAUCCAGACUGCCCUUUCUAAACGAUUUUUCACACAGCCAAACAAAGGGCUAGUGAAAGCGUAAUGACCUACACAUCAAAACACUCGCAUGCACAAACACACACACAAGCUGAGCGGGCUCAAAGCGGACCUCCUUGAGAGCUGACACGUUUUACAAUGAUGGCAAGACUACACACUCAUGAAUAUACAAGCCCCUAUCAAUUAAUAAUGAAUUAAACAUGCUUUGUUAGAAGCAUGAAGGGCUAGUCUGGACCCACACCGAAGAGCGAUAAACAAGAAAAGAAUAACUAAUUUGUGCACUUUAUUGUAAGUCACUUAGAUGUAAAUGGAGAGAUGUGAGGUAAAUGUUCAUUUCAUUUUUAUUUCUAAUUAAUUGCGUUUGCCUUAUUCGAUUCCUCAGCGAGUUGAUUUUUUUUUCUUUUCUUUUUUUUCCCACCAAUCACCUGUUGAUACCUGGUAUGAUGACAUCACACCGGACCCUUCCAGGGCGUCUCCUUUAUCGGUUAGGAGACAUCUGGUAACUCAAUGUCAACAAAUCCGUCAUAUCUGGAGAACAGGUGGCACUUCCUCUGUGUCCCACAGUGUUGAAACUCAACUUAACAUUUCUUAACAUCACAGAGAUGCUGCUAACGCUCCACGUGCCCUGUGCUGUAUUUUUAGAAAGGAGAGCUGCGCUUUUCUUGGAAAACUGACUGAAGAGAUUUACUAGGAUGAAAAUGAGGAUGACUACGGUCAGAUGAGUUAACUAUGAAAGCCAAAUCUGAGCUGGAUCUCUGUUUCUAUGCCUUUGUUGUUGUGGUUGUUCUUAUUUUAUUUAUUUUUAUUUUUUUAUUUUUAUGUAUUUCUGAUUUUUUCCUUUUAGAAAA